CACGUGGCCUCUAAAUAAAUAAGAAAAAAAUCUAACUCCGUGCUGUUCCAUCCAACCAACUUUUAGCUGGAUCAAAGUUCCAAUGGCCUCUGCUCUGUUCUCAGCAUCCGUUGCUUCCUUCAAAGCCACACCAAAACCAGGGAAUUGCUUGGGCUAUCACUACAAUAAGAAUCAUUUUCGAGAUGACUUGUGCCAGAGUUCUGCAGCCACUCAAUUCGGCAAUAUAAAAGCUAAGGCUGAAAAAAGUGAUCAAAGGCCCAAACCGAAUAGCGUGAUUUGUGCCGACUGUGAUGGAAAUGGUGCAGUUCUAUGCUCGCAAUGCAAAGGUAGUGGAGUGAACUCUGUUGAUCUUUUCAACGGACAGUUUAAAGCUGGCGACUCAUGUUGGCUUUGCGGAGGUAGAAAAGAGAUGCUAUGUGGAAAUUGCAAUGGAGCUGGUUUUGUUGGAGGUUUUCUGAGCACUUUUGAUGAAUAGAAAUUAGAAAUUGUGUGCUGGAUGAAGGGUAUUUGCUCCAUGCAUAGAAGUAUGAUUUGGUCCACAGUAUCCUCAGAGUUAGAGCGUGUGUAUAUGUUUGUGCAUACAAAUCAGAAUUGCCUGCGAAACUUGACCUAAUUAGGUAGGAGAUGGAAGAUCCUGCAACCUGAAGAGGCAGUGCAAAUUUGGAAAAGUUGUUCAGUUUGAUUUGGAUCCAAAAUUGACUGGGAUUUUUCUUUGCCAAGCAUUGUUUAAAUUGCCUUUUGAUUUAUUCAGCACUCCAAAGACCAUUGUCCUUACGAUUACUGGCUUACAAUAAGACUAGAAUUCUUUUCAGAUGAUUUUGAAGGUUAAGAGCUCUUCAUGAACUCAAUCAUUUGUUGUUGGAGCAGGCGGGUUGCCUCAGACUUGGGAUAAAACACAUGAAAUACAUGCGACUCUCCCUCAGUCUCCACUAGCCUUGUCAUUUUAACCCCUUUAGUCCGCAGAAAUUCUGCAUACAUUUCUCCCCUUUCCUUCAAGAAAUCCAAGCCAGCCACGAAUACUACAACAGAAGGAAAUUGGCUCCAUUCAGCUGCGGAUAAUUCAGCCUUCUGAAAAUUACAACCAUAAUAAUCACGGUUCAAGCCUUCUGGUAUACUUUGUCUCCAAAACAUGUCAUUGCUUGCAACCUCUCCUGCUGCUCCUUCGGCCUUCUCUUUCUCAGUCCUCUGCUCACUGCCAAAAUAAGGAUGUAUUGGCAAUAAUCCCUUAAUCUUUAUAAUAUGACAGCUGUUGUUCUGAAUGGAUUUGAUAGCAACAUGGUGCACAAUGUUUCCUCCAGCACUGUCCCCAGACAGAAACAUACGGGAAAGGUCAGCCUGCUCGAGCCAUGGUUCAGAUCCUACUUGGCGAACAAGCCAAUCCAGAGAGCUAUAACAAUCUUCAUAUGCUAUGGGGAGACGAUUUUCGGGAGCUAGACGGUAAUCAACAGAGAGAACGAUGGAUUGGGAGGCAGCAGACAGAUCUCCCAGGAAAUGAUGGUAGCCAGCCCAUGUGGUGGAGCCAAUGCAAAAGCCACCACCAUGAAAGUAAACAAUAACAGGAAGCUUAUUUUUGGACCCAGUACUUGCUAUACUUGGAAGAAAUAAUCUUCCUGUAACUGGUUUUGAUGAGUCAAUAAUCACAUCUUUAGACGAGUAUCCGUUAGUUGAUUCUAGUGAGGCUGGAACAAUCUCAGGGGCAAAGCGUUCCACAGAUCCAUCAGAGAAGACUUGAAGGUAACCCGGUGCUUCUGCUACCAAGGACAUUUUUUCUUAUAUAAGGGUGGGGUGGGAGAAGAGUCGAACACUAAGUUCUGUUUAGUUUUGAAGAGCUUGUGGGGGCGUUAUAAUAAAUAGCUACUUUGGAAUGCCAAGGAAAAUGAGUCUUCUUAUAAUGAAGGAUUCGUGAGUCAUGGUUGUUGGGUA